AGUGAACGCUGGCGGUAGGCCUAACACAUGCAAGUCGAACGGCAGCACAGUAAGAGCUUGCUCUUACGGGUGGCGAGUGGCGGACGGGUGAGGCAUACAUCGGAAUCUACUUUUUCGUGGGGGAUAACGUAGGGAAACUUACGCUAAUACCGCAUACGACCUACGGGUGAAAGCAGUGGAUCUUCGGACCUUGCCCGAUUGAUUGAGCCGAUGUCGGAUUAGCUAGUUGGCGGGGUAAAGGCCCACCAAGGCGACGAUCCGUAGCUGGUCUGAGAGGAUGAUCAGCCACACUGGAACUGAGACACGGUCCAGACUCCUACGGGAGGCAGCAGUGGGGAAUAUUGGACAAUGGGCGCAAGCCUGAUCCAGCCAUACCGCGUGGGUGAAGAAGGCCUUCGGGUUGUAAAGCCCUUUUGUUGGGAAAGAAAAGCAGCAGGUUAAUACCCCGCUGUUCUGACGGUACCCAAAGAAUAAGCACCGGCUAACUUCGUG
rnacentral:rRNA from 1 species